UGCGGAGGAUCCAAGCGUUAUCCGGAUUUAUUGGGUUUAAAGGGUGCGCAGGCGGGAGAUUAAGUCGGUGGUGAAAUUUUGCAGCUCAACUGUAAAAGUGCCAUUGAUACUGGUUUUCUUGAGUGUAGAUGAAGUAGGCGGAAUUUGUGGUGUAGCGGUGAAAUGCAUAGAUAUCACGAGGAACUCCGAUUGCACAGGCAGCUUACUAAACUAUAACUGACGCUCAGGCACGAAGGCGUGGGGAUCAAACAGGAUUAGA
rnacentral:rRNA from 1 species